rnacentral:misc_RNA from 1 species
GAUGAAGAACGUAGCGAAAUGCGAUACGUAAUGUGAAUUGCAGAAUUCAGUGAAUCAUCGAGUCUUUGAACGCACAUUGCGCCCCCUGGUAUUCCGGGGGGCAUGCCUGUCCGAGCGUCAUUGCUGCCCUCAAGCACGGCUUGUGUGUUGGGCCUCCGUCCUCCUCCCGGGGGACGGCCCGAAAGGCAGCGGCGGCACCGCGUCCGGUCCUCGAGCGUAUGGGGCUUCGUCACCCGCUCUUGUAGGCCCGGCCGGCGCUUGCCGACACAUCAAUCUUUUUUCCAGGUUGACCUCGGAUCAGGUAGGGAUACCCGCUGAACUUAAGCAUAUCAAUAAGCGGAGGA